AGGAGAUGCGCGUCGGAUCUGUUGCCGCCGGUCCGCCCAGCUGACCCGUCGCCAAACCACGUCGCCAUCCGUGAAUUUGCCUCUGUCGCCGCUGCCAGAGGUUGCCGUCGGAGCCGCCGCUCCACUUCUAUCAUUCUUCUUCUUACAGUGAGUUGCCCGCACCUUGAAGCUCUUUCUGUAAUCAUUCUAGCUAUCUGUGGUUAAGGAUUCUGAUGUAUAGAUGUUGUAGGGUUAAUUUUAUGGGUUUGCAUGUCAAAAAUUAAGGUUGUUGCUUAGCAAAUGAAGUUCCUGGCCGCUGUCGGAGCUGCUGCCGGUUAAGUUUGGGGUGGCUGGCGCGUCGUUCUUUUAUUCCAGAAUUAAUAACCGGGGUUGCAUGUUGGGACUUAAAGAUGUAUAUGGUGUGGCGAAAGUGUGCGGGCUAUGAAUUAAAGCUGCUGUUGACUUCGGGUCGAGAGGAAAGGAAUUUCUUGAGUCAUUUGGACUGUGGUUUGAACUUGUCGAGGUAGGGGUCUUUUCAAAGAACUUAAUUUUAUGAUUUGGAGUUGUUAUAAAUGGAUAUUAACGUGAUAAAUGUACUUUUGGUGAUUGUAUAAGCCUUAUGUAUUGCUGGGCUGUUUUGUGAUGAACGUAUUUGUGGUUGGAUUGGAUUGUUGUUUGAUUUGGUUAUAUGGUUGGUUGCUGAAAUAUUUCAUUACAA